UCUUCUUCAACUCAGCAUCAUCCGCAUCGAAUCCCCAAAAUUCUUCUCCUCCAGCCCUUUUCUUCUUCGAAUUCAUCCAUCAUACCCAUUCUCCUCCUCCUCUUCUUCUUCUUCCUCAACUCUUUUGCUACAAAUCAACAUUCCAUCCCAUUGCCCUUGUUGGCCACCCCCUUACCUCUCUCUAGUUUUUAAAUUUCUAGAUUUUAAAAAUAUUGGUAUCAUUGUUUGAAAUGUUGUGUUCUAAUGGGUUUAAGGGUUCAGUUGGCAAACUUAUAAGUAGAAGGGUUCAAUUUUUAGGGCUACCAAAUUCCUCCCCAAUUUUUAUGGCUACCAUUUUCGAUGUCAAAUUGGCCGCUUUCACUCAUCUUUUUCUCAGUUUCUCUUCGAUAGUGUAGGGGUUGCAAAAUUGCUGAGAUGAUUUCUGCUAUUCAUAAAUGCUAAACCCUAGUGAACUUUGUCCGUCUCAGAAGUUUGAGAGGAAGCAACAAGACUCGACAUGCUUUCUCUCUUGCAACGGACGAAAGCUCGGAGUUUAGCAGAUCAGAAAAUAAGGGGUUUGCUGCUUCUUUGAAUUUGUUGGAGGAAUCAAAGAAGGUUAUAGAUUCAAAUUUCAAAGGUGGAGCAAUCUCACAUGCAGAUCUCAUCCUAUUUGUUGCACAAAGUGCAGUCAAAUCAACCUUUCUCGCUUCUGCAAUUAGCAAAUGUGGUGGUAAUGUAGAGAAGGGACCUUUGUUGUAAUCUGCAUAUGGUUCUAAUGGACAGGGACAAUGUUUUAAAACAAUCACAAAUAACGUCGAACAAAGAGGAGUUUGAUGAUUAUAUGUUUUUUUUCCGGUCAUAUGUAAAUGCAUAAAUGUACAAUAACACAUUGUGUUGUAGGAUCAUGUCUUUAAUUGACUUUUUAGUAGCAGAAUUAUGAUAUUUCAAUUUAAGAA